CCCAAACUUAAGCUCAUAUCCUAUUCACCACUAUAAACAAGCCAACAGGCUAUUAAUUUAAUUAAUAUAUGCUCAGUACACUAGAUGGAAAGAGCACA